rnacentral:rRNA from 1 species
AUUGAACGCUGGCGGCAUGCCUUACACAUGCAAGUCGAACGGCAGCAUGAUCUAGCUUGCUAGAUUGAUGGCGAGUGGCGAACGGGUGAGUAAUACAUCGGAACGUGCCCUGUAGUGGGGGAUAACUAGUCGAAAGAUUAGCUAAUACCGCAUACGACCUGAGGGUGAAAGUGGGGGACCGCAAGGCCUCAUGCUAUAGGAGCGGCCGAUGUCUGAUUAGCUAGUUGGUGAGGUAAAGGCUCACCAAGGCGACGAUCAGUAGCUGGUCUGAGAGGACGAUCAGCCACACUGGGACUGAGACACGGCCCAGACUCCUACGGGAGGCAGCAGUGGGGAAUUUUGGACAAUGGGCGAAAGCCUGAUCCAGCAAUGCCGCGUGUGUGAAGAAGGCCUUCGGGUUGUAAAGCACUUUUGUCCGGAAAGAAAUGGCUCUGGUUAAUACCUGGAGUCGAUGACGGUACCGGAAGAAUAAGGACCGGCUAACUACGUG